rnacentral:rRNA from 1 species
UGGGGAAUAUUGGACAAUGGGCGCAAGCCUGAUCCAGCAAUGCCGCGUGUGUGAAGAAGGUCUUCGGAUUGUAAAGCACUUUCGACGGGGACGAUGAUGACGGUACCCGUAGAAGAAGCCCCGGCUAACUUCGUGCCAGCAGCCGCGGUAAUACGAAGGGGGCUAGCGUUGCUCGGAAUGACUGGGCGUAAAGGGCGCGUAGGCGGCAUACACAGUCAGGCGUGAAAUUCCUGGGCUCAACCUGGGGGCUGCGCUUGAUACAUGUGUGCUUGAGUGUGGAAGAGGGUCGUGGAAUUCCCAGUGUAGAGGUGAAAUUCGUAGAUAUUGGGAAGAACACCGGUGGCGAAGGCGGCGACCUGGUCCAUUACUGACGCUGAGGCGCGAAAGCGUGGGGAGCAAACAGGAUUAGAUACCCCCGUAGUCC